UUCCCAGACUCCUACGGGAGGCAGCAGUCGGGAAUAUUGCGCAAUGGAGGAAACUCUGACGCAGUGACGCCGCGUGCAGGAAGAAGGUUUUCGGAUUGUAAACUGCUUUAGACAGGGAAGAAAAAAGACAGUACCUGUAGAAUAAGCUCCGGCUAACUACGUGCCAGCAGCCGCGGUAAUACGUAGGGAGCAAGCGUUAUCCGGAUUUAUUGGGUGUAAAGGGUGCGUAGACGGAGAAGCAAGUUAGUUGUGAAAUCCCUCGGCUUAACUGAGGAACUGCAACUAAAACUACUUCCCUUGAGUACUGGAGAGGAAAGUGGAAUUCCUAGUGUAGCGGUGAAAUGCGUAGAUAUUAGGAGGAACACCAGUGGCGAAGGCGACUUUCUGGACAGUAACUGACGUUGAGGCUCGAAAGCGUGGGGAGCAAACAGGAUUAGAUACCCGAGUACU
rnacentral:rRNA from 1 species